GAAACGACUGCUAAGACUGGAUAGUAUAUUUGACCAAAUGGACAGAUAUUUAAAGGUGCUUCAAAGCACUACUUAGAGAGGGGUUUACGUCGCAUUAGCUAGUUGGUGGGGUAAAGGCCUACCAAGGCGAUGAUGCGUAGCUGUGCUGAGAGGCAAAACAGCCACACUGGGACUGAGACACGGCCCAGACUCCUACGGGAGGCAGCAGUAGGGAAUUUUCGGCAAUGGACGCAAGUCUGACCGAGCAAUGCCGCGUGAAUGAUGAAGAUCUUCGGAUUGUAAAGUUCUGUUAUCAGGAAAGAAUAGCAUGUCUAGGAAAUGAGAUAUGUGUGACGGUACCUGAUUAGAAAGCCCCGGCUAAUUAUGUGCCAGCAGCCGCGGUAAUACAUAGGGGGCGAGCGUUAUCCGGAAUUAUUGGGCGUAAAGAGUGCGUAGGCGGCUUAUUAAGUCUGACGUGAAAGACCACAGCUUAACUGUGGGAGGUCGUUGGAAACUGGUAGGCUUGAGUACGGUAGAGGUAAGUGGAAUUCCAAGUGGAGCGGUGGAAUGCGUAGAUAUUUGGAGGAACACCAGUGGCGAAGGCGGCUUACUGGGCCGUUACCGACGCUGAUGCACGAGAGCGUGGGGAGCAAACAGGAUUAGAUACCCUGGUAGUCCACGCCGUAAACGUUGAGCACUAAGUGUCGGGUUUAAACUCGGCGCUGCAGUUAACACAUUAAGUGCUCCGCCUGGGGAGUACGGUCGCAAGACUGAAACUCAAAGGAAUUGACGGGGACUCGCACAAGCGGUGGAGCAUGCGGAUUAAUUCGACGCAACGCGAAGAACCUUACCAGGUCUUGACAUCCCAUUGACCGCUCUAGAGAUAGGGCUUCUCCUUCGGGAGCAGUGGCGACAGGUGGUGCAUGGUUGUCGUCAGCUCGUGUCGUGAGAUGUUGGGUUAAGUCCCGCAACGAGCGCAACCCUUAUCAUUAGUUGCUACCAUCAAGUUGAGCACUCUAAUGAGACCGCCGGUGACAAACCGGAUGAAGGUGGGGAUGACGUCAAAUCAUCAUGCCCCUUAUGACCUGGGCUUCACGCGUGCUACAAUGGCUAGUACAAAGGGAAGCAACCCUGUGAAGGUGAGCAAAUCCCAAAAAGGUCAUCUCAGUUCGGAUUGUAGUCUGCAACUCGACUACAUGAAGCUGGAAUCGCUAGUAAUCGCGAAUCAGAAUGUCGUGGUGAAUACGUUCCCGGGGUUUGUACACA
rnacentral:rRNA from 1 species